rnacentral:lncRNA from 1 species
ACAAGUCUCGAUUAAGAUGUUCUUUUAAUCUUGAAACUUCAUCUUUUUCUUAUAAAAUGUUAGUUGUUGAAUGUGGUUUGACAUUAACAUUUUUCAUUAGUCACCCUAUAAAACUAAAAAAAAUAUCAAAAUAAAUUAAAAGUAGUUAGUCAUUAGUUUUGUAUGAAUAUCUACACUAUAUUAGUUUUAUAAAAUCUAUUUAUAUCUAUU